rnacentral:rRNA from 1 species
UACGUAGGGCGCAAGCGUUGUCCGGAUUUAUUGGGCGUAAAGAGCUCGUAGGCGGCUCGUUGCGUCGGCUGUGAAAACCCGCAGCUCAACUGUGGGCCUGCAGCCGAUACGGGCUGGCUAGAGUGUGGUAGGGGAGAUCGGAAUUCCUGGUGUAGCGGUGAAAUGCGCAGAUAUCAGGAGGAACACCGGUGGCGAAGGCGGAUCUCUGGGCCAUUACUGACGCUGAGGAGCGAAAGCGUGGGGAGCGAACAGG